GAUGAACGCUGGCGGCGUGCUUAACACAUGCAAGUCGAACGAAACACCUUAUUUGAUUUUCUUCGGCACUGAAGAUUUGGUGAUUGAGUGGCGGACGGGUGAGUAACGCGUGGGUAACCUGCCCUGUACAGGGGGAUAACAGUCAGAAAUGACUGCUAAUACCGCAUAAGACCCCAGCACCCCAUGGUGCAGGGGUAAAAACUCCGGUGGUACAGGAUGGACCCGCGUCUGAUUAGCUGGUUGGUGCGGUAACGGCGCACCAAGGCGACGAUCAGUAGCCGGGAUGAGAGAGUGAACGGACACAUUGAGGCUAGGACACGGUCCAAAAUCCUACGGGAAGCGGGAGUGGGGAAUAUAGCAAAAUGGGGGAAACCCAGAUGCAGCGAGGCCGCGUGAGUGAAGAAGUAGGUCGGUAUGUAAAGCUCUAUCAGCAGGGAAGAAAAUGACGGUACCUGACUAAGAAGCCCCGGCUAACUACGUG
rnacentral:rRNA from 1 species